AGAGUUGAUCAUGGCUCAGGACGAACGCUGGCGGCGUGCUUAACACAUGCAAGUCGAGCGGUAAGGCCCUCGGGGUACACGAGCGGCGAACGGGUGAGUAACACGUGGGUGACCUGCCCUCCACUCUGGGAUAAGCCUGGGAAACCGGGUCUAAUACCGGAUAGGACUCCUGGAUGCAUGUCUGGGGGUGGAAAGUUUUUUCGGUGGGGGAUGGGCCCGCGGUCUAUCAGCUUGUUGGUGGGGUGAUGGCCUACCAAGGCGACGACGGAUAGCCGGCCUGAGAGGUGAUCGGCCACACUGGGACUGAGACACGGCCCAGACUCCUACGGGAGGCAGCAGUGGGGAAUCUUGCGCAAUGGGCGGAAGCCUGACGCAGCAACGCCGCCGUGGGGGAUGACGGCCUUCGGGUUGUAAACCUCUUUCGCGAUCGACGAAGGUCCACUUUCUGUGGGCUGACGGUAGGUCGAGAAGAAGCACCGGCCAACUACGUGCCAGCAGCAGC
rnacentral:rRNA from 1 species